rnacentral:rRNA from 1 species
AUUAAACUGAAGAGUUUGAUCCUGGCUCAGAUUGAACGCUGGUGGCAUGCUUAACACAUGCAAGUCGAACGGUAACAGGUCUUAGGAUGCUGACGAGUGGCGGACGGGUGAGUAACGCGUAGGAAUCUGCCCAUUUGAGGGGGAUACCAGUUGGAAACGACUGUUAAUACCGCAUAAUAUCUGUGGAUUAAAGGUGGCUUUCGGGCUGUCGCAGAUGGAUGAGCCUGCGUUGGAUUAGCUAGUUGGU